CUAAGAGUUUGAUCGUGGCUCAGGGUAAACGCUGGCGGUGUGCCUAAGACAUGCAAGUCGAACGGGACUUGUUGUCUACACGAAGAUAUCGAUAAUCGAUGUUUUCGCGUAGAUGAUAAGCCUAGUGGCAAACGGGUGAGUAUAAGAUAGGAACAUGCCUCGAAGUGGGACAUAGCCCCGCGAAAGCGGGAGUAAUUUCCCAUGUGGUACCGGUUAAAACCGACUACCAAAGUCGCAAGACGCUUUGAGAGUGGCCUAUUAGCUACCAGCUUGUUGGCGGGGUAAUAGCCCACCAAGGCAAUGACGGCUACCGGCUCUUAGCGGAGAGUCCGGCACAAUGGNNNNNNNNNNNNNNNNNNNNNNNNNNNNNNNNNNNNNNNNNNNNNNNNNNNNNNNNNNNNNNNNAAAGUCUGACGCAGCGACACCGCGUGGAGGAUGAAGGCUCUCGGGUUGUAAACUCCUUUUAUUUGAUCAUGAAGAUCGAAAGAAUAAGCAGCUACUAACUACGUGCCAGCAGUCGCGGUAAUACGUAGGCUGCAAGCGUUACCCGGAUUUAUUGGGCGUAAAGAGUCUGUAGGCGGUUUUUUAAGUCUUGUUUCAAAGACCCCGACUUAAUCGGGGAAAGGGGCAGGAUACUGAAAAACUCGAGUGGUAUCGGGGUCACUGGAAUUUGUAGUGUAGGGGUUAAAUCCGUGGAUACUACAAAGAACACCAAGCGCAAAGGCGGGUGACUAGGUACAUACUGACGCUGAGUAGACGAAAGCUAGGGUAGCCAAUCAGAUUAGAGACCUGAGUAGUCCUAGCUGUAAACGUUGUCUGUUAGUUCUUCCGCCUCGGCGAAGGGAUGUAAGCUAACGCGUUAAACAGACCGCCUGGGGAGUAUAGCCGCAAGGCCGAAACUCAAACGAAUUGGCGGGGAGGCGCACAACCAGUGGAGCAUGUGGUUCAAUUCGAUACGAAGCGAUGAACCUUACCUGGGCUUGAAAUGUACCUGCAGAUCUAUGAAAGUAGAAGUCCUUCGAGGGUGGUACACAGCUGUUGCAUGGCUGUCGUCAGCUCGUGACGUGAGUUGUUCUCUUAAGUGAGGUAACGAGCGCAACCCCCAUCGUAUGUUAUUGUGUCAUACGAGACUGCCUAGCAUUAUUUUGUUAGGAGGAAGGAGGGGACGAUGUCAAGUCAUCAUGAUGCCUAUGUCCAGGGCUACACACAUCCUACAAUGGAUUGCACAGAGGGUCGCAAUACCGCGAGGUGGAGCUAACCCCUAAAACAAUCCUCAGUUGGGAUUGCAGGCUGAAACUCGUCUGCAUGAACUUGGAAUUGGUAGUAAUCGCACAUCAGCAGCGUGCGGUGAAUACGUUCUCGCCUCUUGCACACACUGCCCGUCAAAUCAGCAAAGUUGGGGGUACCCAAAAUCCCGGUUUAUCCGGGACUAAGGUAAAUCCAGCGAUGAGGGUUAAGUCGUAACAAGGUAGCCGUACUGGAAGGUGCGGCUGGAUCACCUCCUUU
rnacentral:rRNA from 1 species